ACUUGUUGUAUGUUAAUGUUUUUCAGAAAUGUUUAUUAAAUGGAUCAUUUUUUCCACUGCUUUCAACACCAGAAAACAAAACAAGUUGAGUCAUGUCAAAAGCAAGUUGUCUGCAGGAUAAUCACUGAAAGCGAAGGAGCAGUCAUCUGCCCUCCUUUCCUGUUCCUUAAGGACAGGGCUGUGUCAGAGGCUUUUCAGGAGUCUACCCAGCAUUGAUACUGGGUGUGCGGUACUCUUCUCGACAAGGAGAAACAAAACACGUACCUUCAAGACAGACUAGAAAAAAAAAACGAAUGAAGAGAACUGGACGAAACUGAUGUGAGUGUUA
rnacentral:sRNA from 1 species